rnacentral:rRNA from 1 species
AUUGAAUGCUGGCGGCAUGCCUUACACAUGCAAGUCGAACGGUAACAGGUCUUCGGAUGCUGACGAGUGGCGAACGGGUGAGUAAUACAUCGGAACGUGCCUAGUAGUGGGGGAUAACUACUCGAAAGAGUGGCUAAUACCGCAUGAGAUCUACGGAUGAAAGCAGGGGAUCGCAAGACCUUGUGCUACUAGAGCGGGCGAUGGCAGAUUAGGUAGUUGGUGGGAUAAAAGCUUACCAAGCCGAUGAUCUGUAGCUGGUCUGAGAGGACGAUCAGCCACACUGGGACUGAGACACGGCCCAGACUCCUACGGGAGGCAGCAGUGGGGAAUUUUGGACAAUGGGCGCAAGCCUGAUCCAGCAAUGCCGCGUGCAGGAUGAAGGCCUUCGGGUUGUAAACUGCUUUUGUACGGAACGAAAAGCCCUGGGUUAAUACCCUGGGGUCAUGACGGUACCGUAAGAAUAAGCACCGGCUAACUACGUGCCAGCAGCCGCCGUAA